rnacentral:sRNA from 1 species
AGUCGGGGAGGGCCGCGCAGUCGGACCGGCUGCUGAGACGAACGCUUCACUGGGGCAGUCUCCGCAUAUCAUGGGGAGAUAGACGCUGCUGCCUGUAGCUUUUGAAAAUGGCUGCCUCUCAUUUCACCGGGCUCACAGCUGUUGCUGAUGUAAUUAAAGAUCUAGACACUCAGAUAGCUUUAAUUGGCCUUGGUCCUCACAGCUCCAAAAAGAAACAGGAUCUCGAUAAGCUCUAUGAGCUGAAGUCCAAAGCUCGGCAGAUUAUGAACCAGUUUGGCCCCUCAGCCCUAAUCAACCUCUCCAAUUUCUCAUCCAUAAAACCGGAACCAGCCAGCACCCCUCCACAAGGCUCCAUGGCCAAUAGUACUACAGUGGUAAAGAUACCAGGCACUCCUGGGACAGGAGGUCGUCUUAGCCCUGAAAACAAUCAGGUAUUGACCAAGAAGAAAUUACAGGACUUAGUAAGAGAAGUGGAUCCUAAUGAGCAGUUGGAUGAAGAUGUGGAGGAGAUGCUGCUGCAGAUUGCUGAUGAUUUUAUCGAGAGUGUGGUGACAGCAGCCUGUCAGCUUGCGCGGCAUCGCAAGUCCAGCACCCUGGAGGUGAAAGAUGUCCAGCUGCAUUUAG